rnacentral:rRNA from 1 species
GACGAACGCUGGCGGCGUGCUUAACACAUGCAAGUCGAACGGAAAGGCCCUGCUUUUGUGGGGUGCUCGAGUGGCGAACGGGUGAGUAACACGUGAGUAACCUGCCCUUGACUUUGGGAUAACUUCAGGAAACUGGGGCUAAUACCGGAUAGGAGCUCCUGCUGCAUGGUGGGGGUUGGAAAGUUUCGGCGGUUGGGGAUGGACUCGCGGCUUAUCAGCUUGUUGGUGGGGUAGUGGCUUACCAAGGCUUUGACGGGUAGCCGGCCUGAGAGGGUGACCGGCAACAUUGGGACUGAGCUGCGGCCCAGACUCCUACGGGAGGCAGCAGUGGGGAUUAUUGCACAAUGGGCGGAAGCCUGAUGCAGCAACGCCGCGUGCGGGAUGACGGCCUUCGGGUUGUAAACCGUUUUCGCCUGUGACGAAGCGUGAGUGACGGUAAUGGGUAAAGAAGCACCGGCUAACUACGUG